rnacentral:rRNA from 1 species
CCGGCGUAUGAUCUACGCGGCGUCGAUUAGCCAUGCUAGUUGCACGAGUUCAGACUCGUAGCAGAUAGCUCAGUAACACGUGGCCAAACUACCCUAUGGAUCCGGAUACCCUCGGGAAACUGAGACUAAUCCGGAAUACCACUCGAUGCCUGGAACUGGCUCGAGUGCGAAAUGCCCCGGCGCCAUAGGAUGUGGCUGCGGCCGAUUAGGUAGACGGUGGGGUAACGGCCCACCGUGCCGAUAAUCGGUACGGGUUGUGAGAGCAAGAGCCCGGAGACGGUAUCUGAGACAAGAUACCGGGCCCUACGGGGCGCAGCAGGCGCGAAACCUUUACACUGCACGCCAGUGCGAUAAGGGGACUCCAAGUGCGAGGGCAUAUCGUCCUCGCUUUUCGCGACCGUAAGGAGGUCGCAGAAUAAGUGCUGGGCAAGACCGGUGCCAGCCGCCGCGGUAAUACCGGCAGCACAAGUGAUGACCGCUAUUAUUGGGCCUAAAGCGUCCGUAGCUGGCCUCGCAAGUCUAUCGGGAAAUCUGCUCGCUUAACGAGCAGGCGUCCGGUGGAAACUGCGUGGCUUGGGACCGGAAGAUCCAGAGGGUACGUCUGGGGUAGGAGUGAAAUCCCGUAAUCCUGGACGGACCGCCGGUGGCGAAAGCGCUCUGGAAAGACGGAUCCGACGGUGAGGGACGAAAGCUCGGGUCACGAACCGGAUUAGAUACCCGGGUAGUCCGAGCUGUAAACGAUGUCUGCUAGGUGUGCCACAGGCUACGAGCCUGUGGUGUGCCGUAGGGAAGCCGUGAAGCAGACCGCCUGGGAAGUACGUCCGCAAGGAUGAAACUUAAAGGAAUUGGCGGGGGAGCACUACAACCGGAGGAGCCUGCGGUUUAAUUGGACUCAACGCCGGACAUCUCACCAGCAUCGACAACGUGCCGUGAAGGUCAGUGUGAUGAGCUUACUGGAGCCGUUGAGAGGAGGUGCAUGGCCGCCGUCAGCUCGUACCGUGGAGCCGUCCUGUUAGUCAGGCAACGAGCGAGGACCCGCACUCCUAAUUUGCCAGCAACACCCUUGUGGUGGUUGGGGUACAUUAGGAGGGACUUGCCAGUGCAAACUGGAGAAGGGAACGGGCCACGGUAGGUCAGUAUGGCUCGAAUUGUGCUGGGCGAACACGCGGGGCU